rnacentral:rRNA from 1 species
GACGAACGCUGGCGGCGUGCCUAAUACAUGCAAGUUGAGCGCUGAAGGUUGGUACUUGUACCGACUGGAUGAGCAGCGAACGGGUGAGUAACGCGUGGGGAAUCUGCCUUUGAGCGGGGGACAACAUUUGGAAACGAAUGCUAAUACCGCAUAAAAACUUUAAACACAAGUUUUAAGUUUGAAAGAUGCAAUUGCAUCACUCAAAGAUGAUCCCGCGUUGUAUUAGCUAGUUGGUGAGGUAAAGGCUCACCAAGGCGAUGAUACAUAGCCGACCUGAGAGGGUGAUCGGCCACAUUGGGACUGAGACACGGCCCAAACUCCUACGGGAGGCAGCAGUAGGGCAUCUUCGGCAAUGGACGAAAGUCUGACCGAGCAACGCCGCGUGAGUGAAGAAGGUUUUCGGAUCGUAAAACUCUGUUGGUAGAGAAGAACGUUGGUGAGAGUGGAAAGCUCAUCAAGUGACGGUAACUACCCAGAAAGGGACGGCUAACUACGUG